rnacentral:rRNA from 1 species
AUUGAACGCUGGCGGCAGGCCUAACACAUGCAAGUCGAACGAGUGGCGGACGGGUGAGUAAUGUCUGGGAAACUGCCUGAUGGAGGGGGAUAACUACUGGAAACGGUAGCUAAUACCGCAUACCAUCAGAUGUGCCCAGAUGGGAUUAGCUGGUUGGUGGGGUAACGGCUCACCAAGGCGACGAUCCCUAGCUGGUCUGAGAGGAUGACCAUCCACACGUGAACUUAGACACGGUCACGACUCUUACGGGAGGAAGCAUUGGGGAUUAUUGCACAAUGGGCGCAAGCCGGAUGCAGCCAUGCCGCGUGUAUGAAGAAUGCCUUCGGGUUGUAAAGUACUUUCAGCGGGGAGGCGUUACCCGCAGAAGAAGCACCGGCUAACUCCGGGCCAGCAGCCGCGGUAAUUC